AGAGCGGAGUCUCCGAGGUCGCGAUGCCACGGCGCACGCCCCUAACUCUGUGGCCUGAGUUCCGAACCCCUGCGGACUGUGGGCCAGCGUCCUUGUCCGCCUGACCACCCCACGCCCGAGUUUCUUACAUCGCGCGCGGGCUCCCCUCCCCGCGUCCCGAUUCCCCGUGGUGACCUGUCCUAAUUAGCCUUCUCAGUUCUGUUCCCCGAGGUGCAGUGUUUAACGCCAUCCCUGUGGUCGGCGCUCCUGGCCACGUUGUUUCUGACUCGAGCCCAGCCUCUCCCGCAGUCGGGGGCCCUGUCCACGAAUUAGGAUUCCCCUGAACCACACCCCCACUCCCUGUCCGGGUGGAUUCACCGGUGGCCACCCUUUCCCCUCCAGCUCCAGGAAUCUGCUGAAAAGAAACCGCAGGAACAGGGAAGCGAAUCCCAGCUGAGGCCUCUCCGGCUCAGUGAACAAGAGGGGGUUGUUGCAAAACACACAGCUUCAGAACUGACUGCGUCAUUUGCUUUGAAAACAAAUGAUCUGGACCCCUUUUCGACCAAGUCCCUGGGAGCCUGCUUGAUAUCCACACCCCAAAAGAGUUUCUCGGUGUAGCCUUGGCUAUCCUGGACUUACUUUGUAGAGCAGGCUGGCCCCAAACUCACAGAGCUCUGCCUGCUGCUGCCUCCCAGAGUGCUGGGCUUACAGGCAUGUACCACCAACUCCGGCUACUGUCUAUCUCUCUCUCCACUUGAAGAUCGAGAAGUAAGCUCUCAGUUGUUUUUGCUGCCAUAUUUUUGUUCUACCAUCAUGGACAUCAACCCUCUGUAGGCCCCAAAUUAAACCCUUUCUUUCCUAAGU